UCUCUUUAGUGUAAACUGUCUAGGGGCCCACCAUGAGGCUCCUUGGUAGCAUCAACUAUCAGAUGUGGUGGGAGGGUUUAGAAGUUACUUCCAAGACCCUGGGGACAAAAGUCAUCCGAAUUCCUUGUUACAAAUGUAUACAGAAAUCGAAUACAUGGUAUAAAAUCAUUUUUUCCUAAAUAAAAAUUUAACACUCUUAAAAAAGUGAUAGAUUCUUCUUCUUUUUAAUUUUUGUUAUUGCCUUAUUUUAAGUAUUUGAAGGACUGUUUCAUUCUCUAAACAGUAAUGAAUGCAAUACUAUUCCUUUAAUUUAUACUUUAAAUGAGUAUGUUACUGAAACACUAAGUGCUAGGAUAGAAAAGUGGAACUACUGCACCCAGCCAACCAUACAUAUUAUACAGCUAUUUAUAGAUAGAUAGUUCACUGGUAGUCUGCUAUUUAUGUGUAUGCCAUCUAGUAUAUCCUCUAAAGGAAACAGAGGGGAGAAUUGAAUCCAAGAUGCCUAACUUCAAAGCCUUUUCUUAACUAUUUUACUGAGGAAGAGAGAAGCUGAGUUUAUUUUUUGGUCUUGGACAUGUCUAAAUUUGUAUGAUGUUUUUGUUUUUGUUUUUGUUUUGAGACGGAGUCUCGCUCUGUUGCCCAGGCUGGAGUGCUGUUGCACGAUCUCAGCUCACUGC
rnacentral:lncRNA from 1 species